rnacentral:rRNA from 1 species
GAUGAACGCUGGCGGCGUGCCUAAUACAUGCAAGUCGAGCGAACAGACGAGGAGCUUGCUCCUCUGACGUUAGCGGCGGACGGGUGAGUAACACGUGGAUAACCUACCUAUAAGACUGGGAUAACUUCGGGAAACCGGAGCUAAUACCGGAUAAUAUAUUGAACCGCAUGGUUCAAUAGUGAAAGACGGUUUUGCUGUCACUUAUAGAUGGAUCCGCGCCGCAUUAGCUGGUUGGUAAGGUAACGGCUUACCAAGGCAACGAUGCGUAGCCGACCUGAGAGGGUGAUCGGCCACACUGGAACUGAGACACGGUCCAGACUCCUACGGGAGGCAGCAGCAGGGAAUCUUCCGCAAUGGGCGAAAGCUUGACGGAGCAACGCCGCGUGAGUGAUGAAGGUCUUCGGAUCGUAAAACUCUGUUAUUAGGGAAGAACAAAUGUGUAAGUAACUAUGCACGUCUUGACGGUACCUAAUCAGAAAGCCACGGCUAACUACGUG